rnacentral:rRNA from 1 species
ACGAACGCUGGCGGCGUGCUUAACACAUGCAAGUCGAACGGUGAAGCGAGUGCUUGCACUCGUGGAUCAGUGGCGAACGGGUGAGUAACACGUGAGUAACCUGCCCAUCACUCUGGGAUAAGCACUGGAAACGGUGCCUAAUACUGGAUACGACCAACCCUUGCAUGGGGUGUUGGUGGAAAGAUUUAUCGGUGAUGGAUGGACUCGCGGCCUAUCAGCUUGUUGGCGGGGUAAUGGCCCACCAAGGCGACGACGGGUAGCCGGCCUGAGAGGGUGACCGGCCACACUGGGACUGAGACACGGCCCAGACUCCUACGGGAGGCAGCAGUGGGGAAUAUUGCACAAUGGGCGAAAGCCUGAUGCAGCGACGCCGCGUGAGGGAUGACGGCCUUCGGGUUGUAAACCUCUUUCAGCAGGGAAGAAGCGAAAGUGACGGUACCUGCAGAAGAAGCACCGGCUAACUACGUG